GUAGGUGGCAAGCGUUGUCCGGAAUUAUUGGGCGUAAAGCGCGCGCAGGCGGUUCUUUAAGUCUGAUGUGAAAGCCCACGGCUCAACCGUGGAGGGUCAUUGGAAACUGGAGAACUUGAGUACAGAAGAGGAAAGCGGAAUUCCACGUGUAGCGGUGAAAUGCGUAGAGAUGUGGAGGAACACCAGUGGCGAAGGCGGCUUUCUGGUCUGUAACUGACGCUGAGGCGCGAAAGCGUGGGGGGAGCAAACAGGAUUAGAUACCCUGGUAGUCCACGCCGUAAACGAUGAGUGCUAAGUGUUAGGGGGUUUCCCGCCCCUUAGUGCUGCAGCUAACGCAUUAAGCACUCCGCCUGGGAGUACGGCCGCAAGGCUG
rnacentral:rRNA from 1 species